rnacentral:rRNA from 1 species
CUUCCCAGUGGGUUUUAACCUAAACGGAUGCGGUAAAUCGUGCUAAGGUAGCUAAAUUAUGGCCCAUUAAUUGUGGGUCUUGCGAACGGCUUGACGAGUUCCCUACUGUCUCAAAGUUGUUUUGGUGAACUUGAAUUGGAUGUGCAAAUGCUUCCAUGAGUAAGAAAGACGAGAAGACCCCGUGAAGUUAGAAAUUUUUUGUCUAGUGUCAGUUUUCAGGUUUUUUUAAGUUUGUAGAUGUGAAUCGAGAUCUUGAGAGUUGAAAAAUAUGGCUCUAUUGUUUUGGCUGGGGCAGCAAGAAGGCAAAACUAGACCUUCUUUAUCAGAGAACGGGUGCGUUACGACCCAUAGUUUUGAAAGGAAUGAUUAUCAGAAGAAGUUACUCCGGGGAUAACAGCGUUAUCCGUCCUGAUAGUUCUUAUAGAUGGGCGGGUUUGCGACCUCGAUGUUGGCUCUGGUUAUCCUGAGGCUUGCAGGAGGUCUCGAGGGUUGGUUUGUUCGCCCAUUAAAAACCGACGUGAUCU